GAUGAAAGUGGUGUGCUUAAUAGUCAACUUUGGAGAAAUAAUAUUAUUGCUGCUCAGUAAUAUCUAAUUAAUCAUUUAGGUUAUAAAAUGUUAUAUAAAAGUCUGACUUUAAGGAAGUAAUACCAUGUAAUACCUUUGCAUGUAACAUAAAAAAAUCUUGACACAAAAUAUUGUUGUCAAUGUUACUAACUAGUGUUAAAAGACAAAUUAAACAGGAAAACUUGAAAACGCUUUCAUUUGUAAAAUAAAAAUAAAAUAAUAGCUCCAUAUGCAUGAUAUGGUAGUUAGUUUUGUUCACGC
rnacentral:lncRNA from 1 species